GAACGCUGGCGGCGUGCCUAAGACAUGCAAGUCGUACGAGAACGCCACCUUCGGGUGGUUAUUAGAGUGGCAAACGGGUGAGUAACGCGUGGGUAACCUGCCUUGAGGUCUGGGAUAACUCCGGGAAACUGGGGCUAAUACCGGAUAAGACCACGAGUUCCUUGGAACAUGUGGGAAAAGAUGGCCUCUUCUUGAAAGCUAUCGCCAUGAGAUGAGCCCGCGUCCCAUUAGCUUGUUGGUGAGGUAACGGCUCACCAAGGCUCCGAUGGGUAGCUGGUCUGAGAGGACGAUCAGCCACACUGGAACUGAGACACGGUCCAGACUCCUACGGGAGGCAGCAGUCGGGAAUUUUGGGCAAUGGGCGCAAGCCUGACCCAGCGACGCCGCGUGAGCGAUGAAGGCCCUCGGGUCGUAAAGCUCUGUCGGAAGGGAAGAUGGGAGCGAAGACAAAUAGUCUAGCUUUUGACGGUACCUUCAAAGGAAGCGCCGGCUAACUCCGUGCCAGCAGCCGCGGUAAUACGGAGGGCGCAAGCGUUGUUCGGAAUCACUGGGCGUAAAGCGCGUGUAGGCGGUCAGGAUAGUCGGAUGUGAAAUCCCAAGGCUCAACCUUGGAACUGCAUUC
rnacentral:rRNA from 1 species